CACAUGUGUGCACAUGUGUACACAUACACACACACACACACACACACUUAUAACAUUUUCAGUAAGUUUGCUUAAUCUGGUAUGAAACAAACUACUUCCCCUGCAGAUGGUGCUUAAAAUAAGAAACAAUUGUGCCAUUUUAUUCUUUUCGUUCCUAUUUAGUAUCAUAAUAUAAAUGACCCAUAUUUUAGAGCAUUUAUCAAAAAUAUAAAAAAGACUGCAAAAAGGAAAUUCCGUGUGGGUGUAAAGUAAAUCCCUUGAACCAAACAGAAUAGAUCAAAUGUGUGGAGAAAGGAGGGUAAUUUGGAUCAAGAGUUCAUACUCGGUAAGGGAGUGCCAGCUCUCUGGGUCUUUCCUACGGAAGCAGCGCAACUUCAGAAGAGGUGGGAGGACAUUUAGCCAAAGCUAAGAGUUCUAAAAAGACCUUGAUCCUGUGAAUGACUUCAUUACGAGGUGUUUCAGAGAAGGGCAUGGAAAGCUGGGUCCAGGAUUUAAAAGACUUCUUGCACUCUGUUUCUACCAAGGAGAACAGUAAGUAGUGAAGCCAACGGAAUAGAAACAGAUGGCUCAAAUUUUCUUUGAAACACAGACAGAUUGAAGAGAAAGGAGUUUGGCAAGAAGACAUCUGGGGUUUAGCCAAACUGAAAACAUUUGAGAAAUGGUAUGAGAUGCUGGAAGAACAUUAAGGCGCCCACAACACUCACAUUAAGUGUAAUGCGAUAGAGACGCAGAAAGAAAUGGAGUUUUAAAGACAGAGCCCAGUUUCCGGUGAGCUCUAGCAGCUGACUCAGGAGGGAUAAAGAUUCUGAUGACUGGUCAGGCCUAAUCGGGCCACCUCAGCAACGAAAGUGAGACUGGAAUGCAUAAGACCCAGUUCAGUAGCCAGGCUGCUGAAAUGCUCAGCAAAACCAGACCAUGUUGCUAUAACUGCCCAUAGCUGAAACCAUGCAAGACUGGUAUGACCAAUGUGGCCGAAAUGACUGAUGGCAUUGUAAUAUGCUAAACCCAAAAUUGGAUGUAGAACCUGCCUGUUAGACUUGAAUGUGUGGCUCAAACUCCCUGUGAUGCUGCAAUGAAGUAUAGUUGAAAUAUCCAGGGAGGUUGUGCAGUUUCUGUGUGACUAGAACAGCCUGUGGAGUGUGAGCCACCACUGUGGCUGCGGUGACUUAAGACUGUUGUCUUUUCUUCUCUUUAAUUCAUAGGCAUUAGAGUAUGACUUAACACUUUACAGCAGAAGUAGCCACUCCAUCACCACAUCGUUGAAGUAUUUAAACCUCCUGUUGCAAAGAGUUAGGAAGAUCUCCAGAAGGUGUGUUCUUCUGAGGACUUCAGCAUCCUUUGGCUCAGAAGCUGGGACAGUUACUCAGAAUGUGAAGUGGGACCUGUGUGAGAAAAACGUCCAACAAAUUCAGCAAGUUGAACGUGGCACUUCAGACAUUCUACGUUUAGAAGCAUGGCACUGAGCACUGCACCUAGGGAUUGGGAGACAAUUUUAUUGUUUUGAUAAAAGAAUGUGAUUUUCAUAGGGAAA